rnacentral:rRNA from 1 species
CCUACGGGUUGCACCAGUGGGGAAUAUUGCACAAUGGGCGCAAGCCUGAUGCAGCCAUGCCGCGUGUAUGAGGAAGGUCUUCGGGUUGUAAAGUACUUUCAGCGGGGAGGAAGGCGAUAAGGUUAAUAACCUUGUCGAUUGACGUUACCCGCAGAAGAAGCACCGGCUAACUCCGUGCCAGCAGCCGCGGUAAUACGGAGGGUGCAAGCGUUAAUCGGAAUUACUGGGCGUAAAGCGCACGCAGGCGGUCUGUCAAGUCGGAUGUGAAAUCCCCGGGCUCAACCUGGGAACUGCAUUCGAAACUGGCAGGCUGGAGUCUUGUAGAGGGGGGUAGAAUUCCAGGUGUAGCGGUGAAAUGCGUAGAGAUCUGGAGGAAUACCGGUGGCGAAGGCAGCCCCCUGGACAAGGACUGACGCUCAGGGCUAAAGCGUGGGGAGCAAACAGGAUUAGAUACCCCUGUAGUC